UUCAAUCCAUCCAUCUCAUUUUAUAAAUCCAUUGGAUAAUGUUUUAUUAUUUACUUAUUAAAUAAAAUAUUUUAUUAAAACAAUAUUGAAUAUUUAAAUUAAACAAAAUUUAUUUUGUUAAAAAACAAAAAGAAAAACAUUUGAAAGAUAAAAAUUGAAAUUCACUUUUCUCAACGUCAGAACUAAAUCAUGUUCUCUAUCCAACCAAACAAGAACCCUAAUUUCUUUUUCCCCCAAUUUCUUCUUCCCUCAGUUUCUUCUUAACAUUUGACACUACAAAUCAAAAUUCAUCUCAACAAUUUUGUGCUACAAUUGCAAUUCAUCUCAAC
rnacentral:lncRNA from 1 species